CAGGGGCAGGAUUUGGGGGGAGGCAUGGGAAGGCGGGGAUGUGGAGCAAUGAAGGACGAGCAGACGUUGGUCUCCUCAGUCCCACUGAUGAAUUGCACAAGUGCGGGUCUUAACCUACUGACUCAGAGCAGAAAAGCAGCAAGGGUUUUGUUUCUCUUGUCCUCUUUUUGAGCAGCAUGCCCAGCUGGAGUCUGAAACACUUCCUAAUGUUCCUCGCCGAGUCCUUCUGCCAAGAAUUUGUUGGGUAGUUACUGCGUGGGUUUGCGUAUGUCAUUGACGCUGGGUGAAUCCUGCCUUGACAGCUCCCGAUGUUGCCUUGUCCCUGUUGAGUCAGCGUGCUGGCUGCGUCGAACGGGCGGUGCAGAAUUGCAUGUCCUCGGUUCAUCCCUGAUUUAUGACGAAUGCAGCAGGCGUGUCCGAGAGUCAGCCGUGGGAUCAGGCAGUGUCUGACGGGACUGUCUGCACGUAUGGAGCCUUUUGCCCCCAUGUGCGUUGUCAGCCCCUAUAUGAGCAGAAAAAGGAGCCCUGGCCAGCAGGUGAAGCUACCCAGGUGAUGCUGACCCACCGUGGAAGUGGUUACGGAGCUGCACAGCUCAAGGAAGGAGCUUAAAAGAUCACUCCUCUUCUUGUGCCUUAGCAUGCUUUUUGGGGAAAAAAAAAAAAAAA